AAGUCGUAACAAGGUUUCCGUAGGUGAACCUGCGGAAGGAUCAUUAAUAAAUUUUUUCAUCUAAUGAUGAAUAAAAAAUUAACCUUGUGUGCAAACAUUGCUUUGAAAGGAAGAAGGUGAAUACCUUCAUCCUAAAAACAAAAACACAUCAUCAAACUUUUAUGUAAAAACAAAAUAUAUUUAUAAUAAAAUACAACUUUCAACAACGGAUCUCUUGGCUCUC
rnacentral:misc_RNA from 1 species